CACUGGGUCCGCUCGCUCACCGCCCACAACAGUUCGUUUGGCCGCCGCCCCUCUAUCUUGGUUUCUGGCGUGCGUGCUUCGUUGGGGGUUGGGGAAUUGCUUCAUACACGCUGGAGCGAGUUGGCUGGCUCUGUUCGUGACAGAGAUUAGGCCCAAAUAGCGGGUCUACAUGCGUCGCUCGGCAUUGUCAUAGGCCCAAUUAGGGUGGCUGCCAGUAGCGGAUGCAGAAACUUUUUAUUGGUGUGGCAAAGGUUACUAGUAUACAUAGCUUGGGUCAAAUCAUUAAUUAAGUACUGCAUAAACCUAGUAUACAUGGAUAUGUUAGAUGUGGC
rnacentral:lncRNA from 1 species